rnacentral:rRNA from 1 species
AGAGUUUGAUCCUGGCUCAGAGCGAACGCUAGCGGCACGCUUAACACAUGCAAGUCGAACGAAAAUUUAUUUAGGUAAAUUUUAGUGGCAAACGGGUGAGUAAUAUGCAGAAAUCUGCCCUUUUGAGGGGGAUAGCCAUGGGAAACUGUGAUUAAUACCCCAUAAGCUCGAAAGAGGAAAGGUCAUAAGACCGCUGAAGGAGGAGUCUGCAUCAGAUUAGAUAGUUGGUAGGGUAAAGGCUUACCAAGUCUAUGAUCUGUAGCUGGUCUGAGAGGAUGGUCAGCCACACUGGGACUGAGAUACGGCCCAGACUUCUACGGAAGGCAGCAGUGAGGAAUAUUGGACAAUGGGGGAAAYCMKGRKCSAGYGWYKUCGGCGCUGAAUUGAUGAAGGCCAUAAGGUUGURAAGUUCUUUCGUCUGUGAUGAAUAAUUGACACUAACAGAAAAAGGAAGGCUCCGGCUAACUUCGUGCMRGCAGSCGCGGUAAGACGAAGGGAGCAAGCGUUGCUCGGAAUGAUKGGGCGUAAAGGGUGCGUAGGCUGUCUUUUAAGUAAAAUGUUAAAGGCUUGGACUCAAUUUAAGUUUUGCAUUUUAUACUGAAAGACUCGAAUAUGGGAGAGGAAACAGGAAUUUCUCAAGUAGAGGUAAAAUUCGUUGAUAUGAGAAGGAACACCAGAGGCGAAGGCGAGUUUCUGGAACAUUAUUGACGCUGAGGCACGAAAGCGUGGGUAGCAAACAGGGUUAGAUACCCUGGUAGUCYACGCCCUAAACGAUGAUUGCUAAACGUCGGGAAUAAUUAAUUUUCGGUGUUGAAAGCUAACGCGAUAAGCAAUCCGCCUGAGGAGUACGGUCGCARGACUAAAACUCAAAGGAWUUGACGGGGACCCGCACAAGCGGUGGAAGCAUGGUGGGUUUAAUUCGAAUAAUCCCGCGAAAAAACCUWACMAGCUUCKUGGACAAUGGAAGGUCCGUAAYCUUAUGAGAGUAAGAUGUCGGGUUAUGCCGGACCUCACACAGGUGGUGCAUGGCUGUCGUCAGCUCGUGUCGUGAGAUUUUGGGUUAAGUCCUUUAACGGGCGCAACCCCUAUCUUUACUUGCUAACGAAUAAUGUCGAGAACUUUAGAGAGACUGCCAGUGAUAAACUGGAGGAAGGUGGGGAUGACGUCAAGUCAUCAUGCCCCUUAUGAGCUGGGCUACACAUGUGCUACAAUGGCGGUUACAAUAUGUUGCAAAGGGGUGACCUGGAGCCAAUCACAAAAAACCGUCUCAGUUCGGAUUGUUCUCUGCAACUCGAGAACAUGAAGUUGGAAUCGCUAGUAAUCGCUGAUCAGCACGCAGCGGUGAAUACGUUCACGGGUCUUGUACACACCGCCCGUCAAGCCAUGGGAAUUGGUUUCACCCAAAGAUGAUAAGCUAACUUAUUUUAGAGGCAGUUGUUCAAGGUGAGGCUAGUGACUGGGGUUAAGUCGUAACAAGGUAGCCGU